rnacentral:rRNA from 1 species
CGUACAGGCGGUGAUGCAAGUCAGAUGUGAAAUCCAUCGGCUCAACCGGUGAUCUGCAUUUGAAACUGUAUUGCUUGAGUACAGGAGAGGAGAGCGGAAUUCUUGGUGUAGCGGUGGAAUGUGUAGAUAUCCAGAAGAACACCAGUGGCGAAGGCGGCUCUCUGGCCUGAUACUGACGCUGACGCGCGAAAGCUAGGGGAGCAAACAGGAUUAGAUACCCUGGUAGUCCUAGCCGUAAACGUUGGGCACUAGGUGUUGGAGGUAUCGACCCCUUCAGUGCCGAAGCUAACGCAUUAAGUGCCCCGCCUGGGGAGUACGGCCGCAAGGUUGAA